AUUGAACGCUGGCGGCAUGCCUUACACAUGCAAGUCGAACGGUAACGGGCCUUCGGGUGCCGACGAGUGGCGAACGGGUGAGUAAUGUAUCGGAACGUACCUUUCAGUGGGGGAUAACGUAGCGAAAGUUACGCCAAUACCGCAUAUUCUGUGAGCAGGAAAGCAGGGGAUCGCAAGACCUUGCGCUGAUGGAGCGGCCGAUAUCAGAUUAGCUAGUUGGUGAGGUAAAGGCUCACCAAGGCGACGAUCUGUAGCGGGUCUGAGAGGAUGAUCCGCCACACUGGAACUGAGACACGGUCCAGACUCCUACGGGAGGCAGCAGUGGGGAAUUUUGGACAAUGGGGGCAACCCUGAUCCAGCCAUGCCGCGUGAGUGAAGAAGGCCUUCGGGUUGUAAAGCUCUUUCGGCCGGGAAGAAAUCGUAUCAGCUAAUACCUGGUGCGGAUGACGGUACCGGCAUAAGAAGCACCGGCUAACUACGUGCCAGCCGCCGCAGUAAUAC
rnacentral:rRNA from 1 species